UGAAUAAAUGCUUUUCUAAAGACAAUGUGGUGGGUAAUGAAAACCCAAUACUUACUUUGUUACUGGUGGCCCUAAUGUUUAUAUUUUUACCAUGUUUUCAGUCUAUACCAUUUCUGUGAGACCAUUUAUUACAAUCGGAAUUCUUAAAAAGUAUAUUUGGCUACAAUACAUUCAGGAUGAGGAUUCAUGAUACCAUUAUUUUACAGGAUAUAUUGGAUUAAAACACAUCAUUGGUCUUGGUAAUUAUCAAGUCUUCUUAUGAGCUAUGAAACUUGAGAUGCCUUAGAUUACAAUUAAUCACUACUGGUCACUACUGAAUAGAAUCUAAGUCUGAAGCAUCCUGCUUGGAUUCUUCAUUUUUAUUCCGUGGCAGCAUUCACUGAGGGUUGUACCAUUGGGAGAACCAUCGAAGCUGUGAAAACAAAGACACUCACAAAGUCAUUAGACUAUAUUUUUCUCUUAUGUGCCUGUCCAGAAGUAGGCAGUGCAAAAUGGGUAUAUUAAUUCUGUUAUAUAUAACACACAGCUUCUAUCUCAGUCCGUGUUGGCUACAGGGACUCUCCCACAGACAUUAGGAAGGAAAAAAUAGGAAGUGGAGGACACAUCCCUUCCAGUUAAGGGUAAAACCUAGAGGUUAUACACACCACUUCUGGCUCAUUUGUCAUGAGUCAGAACUUAGUCACAGUGCCACACCUAGUUGCAAGGAAAGCCAAGAGUUGUCAUCGAUAGUUGGAAGGCCUUGAACCCAGUGAAAAUCUGUGUGGGGGAUUUUAAUACCAGAAAGAAGAAGUGAAUAUUGGUGAAUGGCUAGCUAUCUUUGCUACAAUUGCUCACCUGAAAUUAUAGGUUGGUUUUCUCCAUAUCAGAGCUGCUUAGUGAGUGAACUCUACUGUGCCUCCUGUGCCAAAAGUAAAGCUCCUUGAGGAGACUUGCCCAAUUUUACGUGUGAAAACCGAAGACUUACCCAGAGUCACAGAAAGAGUGGUGACAAUCAGGACUAGGAUCCAGAGAACAUGAAUUUUUUCCUGGCUCUUGAAAAAGCAGCAUUUCUCUUCCAAA